AACGAACGCUGGCGGCAGGCUUAACACAUGCAAGUCGAGCGCCCCGCAAGGGGAGCGGCAGACGGGUGAGUAACGCGUGGGAAUCUACCGUGCCCUACGGAAUAACGCAUGGAAACGUGUGCUAAUACCGUAUACGCCCUACGGGGGAAAGAUUUAUCGGGGUAUGAUGAGCCCGCGUUGGAUUAGCUAGUUGGUGGGGUAAAGGCCUACCAAGGCGACGAUCCAUAGCUGGUCUGAGAGGAUGAUCAGCCACAUUGGGACUGAGACACGGCCCAAACUCCUACGGGAGGCAGCAGUGGGGAAUAUUGGACAAUGGGCGCAAGCCUGAUCCAGCCAUGCCGCGUGAGUGAUGAAGGUCUUAGGAUUGUAAAGCUCUUUCACCGGUGAAGAUAAUGACGGUAACCGGAGAAGAAGCCCCGGCUAACUUCGUGCCAGCCGCCGCCGUAAUAC
rnacentral:rRNA from 1 species